AUCAUCCGUCACCCGAUCCGUGGCGACGACGAUACUGGAAGGCGUGUGCUUGUUUGUUGGUGGCUGUCGAUGAUGGCCGUCGCGUCUUUGUGUGCGUUUUGUUUAAUCACAACAAAUCGAGAGCCCUGUUGACUGUUGCGGUACUCGCAUCUAGUGCCCAAAUUACCCACCAAGAAAUCGACCACUCAUGCCUCGUGUCUGUUGGGUACGUUCCGAUAGAGGACGUACGUAUCUCGCCUGCGGUUGCUCCCACCAGCGCGGCAACUGCAGCCGUCCUUGCUAACCUCACCGUACGAGGCACGGGCCGUACACACCGUGAAUUAGUGGCGUAUCUGCGAUGUGUGGCGUUAUACCUGGUGUGUAACAGUGCAACGCUGAGAAUCCCGGUCGCCCCGGUGUGCAAGGCAUGUGUGUAAAACGGCCAACCCUAACUAGGCACCCAACUCAAGAUAAGCCUGGCAGAUGGGCACGAUUUUGCGCACUUUGUCCCGGUCAAUUGCCGCAUUCUCGGCCAGCCAGAACCCACCGGACCUAGCCAGGCUAGAUGACGUAGACACACACACACACACACACACGCUCUGCCCGGUCAAAUCUGGUACAAAGCGGGGUGUGGUUCUGGUCCUCAAUUACGGUGUGCGCAGCAGUGUCUUGCAGGACGUGGCAAAGAACUUUACACAGCCGCCAGCCCCGGUGCAGGGUGUGGUGAGGUUAUCGGCGCUAGGGAACUAGGACGCGCUACUAAGAGGGCUCUGCUGUACGGUUGACCGCAAUUAUCAGAACCGAUGACGAUUGGAUGGAAGAUGUUUUUUUUUUUUUCUGUUUGUUGCUUAGGAAUAUUUUGGUCUUACGAAACGAACGCAUUUCUUGGGGUGGCCUUCACCCUUCAAGAACGUUGAACUACUUUUCUUUUUCGAGACGUCAAGAACGCCUGAUGUGCAGGUUGAAGUUGAAGUGGAGGAUCAAGUGGAGAUGUUCAGUCCCGUCGAUGGAUUUGAUUUGUAACCUUAAAACUUGCUCGUGUUCCGGGGAAUUCGGUUUGCACCAUUGAUUAGACUCUAGCCAACUGCUAUUGUUGGCCUUUAAUCGGUGUAUUUAGUCUGCGACAAAGGCUGUGUAUGCAUCCAGCACGUCUAUUCGAUCGCGCGUGCCCUAUCACAGCAGGAAGACACUUCUUCCCACCAAUCAAGAUAAUGAUCCCGGAAUACACCAAUGUUUGCACUUGCUGCUUCCAAAACAUUGGCGCAGAUCUUGCCGAUAGAUUGGACGGAACCACAACUAACUAACGAACGAACACGAACGGCGGCUAAAUGGCUCCACGCUGGGCUGAAUGUUGUGAGUUUACUCCCGUUUUGUUUUGCUCCGGACCUCGGGCUAUUAGAAGACGCUAACGACAUCCUUGCACGCGGUUGACGUAAUGCCGUGAUCGUAGAGCCCAUCGAUCACCGAUCGAGCGUUGAAGAUUUAAAGGUAGAAUGAAGUAAGACAUUUGCUUCCGUUUUGUUUGGUUUUGCCUUUAUUAGAUCAUCCAUUUCGAUGCCUUGUUUUGUGUGUGUGUGUGUGUGUGUUUAAGUGUGUUUCUUCUUGUAAUCUUAACUUCCAAACCGAUCCAGUAAUGAUUUAAAACCAUUCCUAAUAGCACUUUGCAUUUUUUUUUCUUCUGUUUUUAAUCUCACCUCUCCGACUCGUUCUCACGUUCCUCUUACUUGCCUAGCUCGUCGCUUCUGUAAAUAGUGCUCUCUAAUACUGCCAUCCACGCACCUUGAAGGCUGGUGGGCAUAACGCAGCCAAACAAACGCACAAACCAGUAUCCUGGCAUGAUUAUCGCUUCCUUGUACCGUCUUGCUGCUGCUUCCCAUUAAAACUGUCAAUAAUUCGUUCCAACAUCUCAACUUGCUGCUAAAUCUGCGUCGUCCUAUCAAAUUAACCCAUCCGCUUCGCCCAACAAGCUAUAUCUGAGCUGUAAAAUGCCCCAGGCUCUGCCUUGGCAACACAUGCAGGGGUUUCACUCGCUAUCUCCCCUGUACAACCGCCGGCGUCUAGAAUAUGGCUUUGGUUUUCUUCUUAUUUUCGCUCUCUAUCGUUCCUUGAAUAAUUUAGCACUACUAGUAGUUGUUAUCAAAAAAUGUGUGUCUGUGGGUUUUUUUUUUGCUAUGCCCUGUCCCCAAACUUCUGGUCUAUGCUUAUAAGAGUUGCUAUUAUUGGUUCUACUGCGCUACAACAGCUGCUCGUUGUAUUUUCUCACACACGCUCCAAAAAGUUGUCUGCCCCUGCUUCUCGUUGAGAUUCGGAGGUUUCUUCAAUGUAGCUAUUCGUUAGGUUUAGUGUACUUCUGCAUAGUUCCGGCUGACAUUCGGUGGAGCUCUGUCUACCUUCUGUACAAUAAAAGGGGGAAAACAAAUCUCUCGUCCAACGUCCGCGCCUGCUGAGAGUUGUGAUGCUUCCGAUAACAGACCGAACAGAUCUAGAAUCUAGAAUGGUAAAUAACUUCCCCAUUUAAAAAGUCCUGACACUAUUCGCUACGUUUGGGUAAGAUUUGGUAUGUUUUGUAUUUCCCUGGAUCGCUGUAGUUGUUGUUGUGGUUGUAGGUGAGCAGUCUGCCACCUGCUACAUUCGUCUCGGUUUUUGAUUGGUUUGAACGAUCGGCUUUCCGUAAACCCCCUCGCCUUAAAGCAAAGUUCUGAUACAUAUCUUGUUGGGUUUUGAGAGGAACCCUUUUCUAAAACUUGAUCUCUCACGUUUCAGCACGAUCACGAAUAAAAAAGCGUUCAGUAGAUUUCUCGCCCCUCUCAUCGAAUGACCUCUUCCUAGUGAAGAAAAUGAAGAAUUCUGCUGCCGCAAUAGUGAUGUAGUAUACUAACAAACAAACAUGUUAUUUAGAGCAACUUGUGUGCGUGUUCGCCGCUUAACUUCUCGCUUUUUUCCUGUACUGUGGGCAAUCGUUUGCGGAAUGGAUCUUGGAGUUUCCCACCCAUAAGUAUUCUACCCCGUGGUAAAAAUCACAAUAUAUUGCCCCUCACUAGCUGCCAUCUGUCAUCUUUCGAGCACUCUGCCCGGGGAAACCGCCAACUCCGGCACGAUGCCUGAGAGUACGAGAGUUAAAAUAGUGUGGUUUGAUGAGUUAGAAGAGAUUAGUUUCACACACACACGAUCGUGAUUAUGUACGCGAGUGCUCUUGCUUUUGUGUUCUUUGUUGGUUAGGAAUUGUUCCUCUAUAUCUGUACUCCCGCAUCCGGUUCCUCUUGUGGAUUAAUAUAAUCGGCAUCAUUAUUUCUUUCUGAAGCGCUGCCCACACUCGAGUCAAUAGUACAACCGGUCCCGUUUCAGCUCAUUGUCCAGAUCGGCCAGCUGCUGCAGGAAGCCCUCGUUCGGACGUAUGUCCCGAUGCAUCCGCACGGUACGGAUCGCUUCGGCCGCGGUCAUUUUGCGGGCAAUCAUUAGGUACGCUAGAACGCAGGUUGCCGAUCGGGACAUGCCCAUCAUGCAGUGGACCAGCACCUUACCUGUUUUUCGGGAAGAUAGAGAGAUCGAGUUAGAGUUGACCAGAGGGAAGGAGAGAUCUCCAGAUGCUUACCUCCACUGUUGAUGCCAUUCUCGAUGAACUUGGAGGCGAUGUAGAAGUACCGGCUGAUGUCCGUCGUCGGCUGGUCAAUCAUCGGGAAGCCCAUAUACCUAAAAGUACACCUUGAACCGUGUCCAUUAUCUUUGGUCUAAGCUCCCUGGUCCAUCGGAAAUUGGAAUUUUUAAGGGACCAACUCUUUCUUCCGGACCUUCCGGGAGCAGAAGGAUAUAUACCGAGGUGAGUGCGAGAGUUUUCAGUGGGUGCUAAUUUUGCCUAUCAAUUGCAGUUCGGGAGUCUGUUUGCACCGUAUCCAAGCGAAUCCAAGCUUACCUAAUGCCGGACAUAUCCCGGUAGUAGCUGUGCCCCGUGUCAACCUGCCCGAAGCGAGUACCUUCCGCCGUGUUUAGCACGUGUGUGACACCGAUCAACCGUAAAUACUGUUUGUUCUUCGCUGAGUUACUGUAACGGGGCGUAGAAUUUC